AUGAAUGAUGGUUACUCCAAGAUUGGUAGCACUACAAGCCAGAAAUCAAGAUCUAUAGAUUUUUCUCAAACACCUAAACCAAUCAAGAUUAGCAGCACUACUCUUGAUGAAGGAGAGAAAUUUGGAGCGAUACUAGGUAGGAGCUCUUCAGUGUCUUCUUCAUCUUAUUCUGAAUCUGGGUUUCAAGCAACAAUGAAGAGAGUAUUUUCAAUAACAAGGUCUUCAUCGGUUUCAGAAAGGUACAGUAGGAUCCAUGAUCAGAACAUGGUAAUAGCAUCAGAUGAUGCAACAAAGAAGAAAAACCUGAGGGGAGGCAAGAUCCUUAAAGUCUGUAAGAGUUUGUUUGGAUUUUACUAG